UGGGGAAUAUUGCACAAUGGGCGAAAGCCUGAUGCAGCAACGCCGCGUGAGUGAUGAAGGUCUUCGGAUUGUAAAGCUCUGUCUUUUGGGACGAUAAUGACGGUACCAAAGGAGGAAGCCACGGCUAACUACGUGCCAGCAGCCGCGGUAAUACGUAGGUGGCGGGCGUUGUCCGGAUUUACUGGGCGUAAAGGGUGCGUAGGCGGAUGUUUAAGUGAGAUGUGAAAUACCCGGGCUUAACUUGGGUGCUGCAUUUCAAACUGGAUAUCUAGAGUGCAGGAGAGGAGAAUGGAAUUCCUAGUGUAGCGGUGAAAUGCGUAGAGAUUAGGAAGAACACCAGUGGCGAAGGCGAUUCUCUGGACUGUAACUGACGCUGAGGCACGAAAGCGUGGGUAGCAAACAGGGUUAGAUACCCUGGUAGUCCACGCCGUAAACGAUGAGUACUAGGGUGUAGGAGGUAUCG
rnacentral:rRNA from 1 species